CCUACGGGAGGCUGCAGUGAGGAAUAUUGGUCAAUGGGCGCGAGCCUGAACCAGCCAAGUCGCGUGCGGGAAGACGGUCCUAUGGAUUGUAAACCUCUUUUGUCGGGGAGCAAACGCCGCCACGCGUGUCGUUCCGAGAGUACCCUACGAAAAAGCAUCGGCUAACUCCGUGCCAGCAGCCGCGGUAAUACGGAGGAUUCGAGCGUUAUCCGGAUUUAUGGGGUUUAAGGGGUGCGAAGGCGGAAGAUCAAGUUAGCGGUAAAAUUGGGGGGCUCAACCUCUUCGGGCCUUUGAGACUGGUUUUCUUGAGUGAGCGAGAAGUAUGCGGAAUGCGUGGUGUAGCGGUGAAAUGCAUAGAGAUCACGCAGAACUCCGAUUGCGAAGGCAGCAUACCGGCGCUCAACUGACGCUCAUGCACGAAAGUGUGGGUAUCGAACAGGAUUAGAUACCCGUGUAGUC
rnacentral:rRNA from 1 species